rnacentral:rRNA from 1 species
GGGCUUGCGUCCGAUUAGCUAGUUGGUGGGGUAAUGGCCUACCAAGGUUAUGAUCGGUAGCUGGUCUGAGAGGACGGUCAGCCACACUGGGACUGAGACACGGCCCAGACUCCUACGGGAGGCAGCAGCAGGGAAUAUUGGGCAAUGGGCGAAAGCCUGACCCAGCGACGCCGCGUGAGGGAUGAAGGGCUUCGGUUCGUAAACCUCUUUUCUCAGGGAUGUGACAGUACCUGGGGAAUAAGUCACGGCUAACUACGUGCCAGCAGCCGCGGUAAAACGUAGGUGGCGAGCGUUAUCCGGAUUUACUGGGCGUAAAGCGGGCGCAGGCGGCUCUUCAAGUCGGAUGUAAAAUCUCCCGGCUCAACUGGGAGGGACCAUCCGAUACUGUUGAGCUAGAGGACAGCAGAGGAAGGUAGAAUUCCCGGUGUAGUGGUGGAAUGCGUAGAU